rnacentral:rRNA from 1 species
ACGGGUGGGUAACGCGUGGGAAUCUACCCAUCUCUACGGAAUAACGCAUGGAAACGUGUGCUAAUACCGUAUACGUCCUUCGGGAGAAAGAUUUAUCGGAGAUGGAUGAGCCCGCGUUGGAUUAGCUAGUUGGUGGGGUAAAGGCCUACCAAGGCGACGAUCCAUAGCUGGUCUGAGAGGAUGAUCAGCCACACUGGGGCUGAGACACGGCCCAGACUCCUACGGGAGGCAGCAGUGGGGAAUAUUGGACAAUGGGCGCAAGCCUGAUCCAGCCAUGCCGCGUGAGUGAUGAAGGCCCUAGGGUUGUAAAGCUCUUUCACCGGUGAAGAUAAUGACGGUAACCGGAGAAGAAGCCCCGGCUAACUUCGUGCCAGCAGCCGCGGUAAUACGAAGGGGGCUAGCGUUGUUCGGAUUUACUGGGCGUAAAGCGCACGUAGGCGGACUAUUAAGUCAGGGGUGAAAUCCCGGGGCUCAACCCCGGAACUGCCUUUGAUACUGGUAGUCUUGAGUUCGAGAGAGGUGAGUGGAAUUCCGAGUGUAGAGGUGAAAUUCGUAGA